CCUACGGGUGGCAGCAGUGAUGAAUAUUGGUCAAUGGCCGGGAGGCUGAACCAGCCAAGUCGCGUGAGGUAAGACGGCGCAGAGCGUCGCAGACCUCUUUUGCCGUGGGACAAAAGGCCGGACUCGUCCGGUCCUGAGGGUACCCGGAGAAAAAGCAUCGGCUAACUCCGUGCCUGCAGCCGCGGUAAUACGGAGGAUGCGAGCGUUCUCCUGAUUCAUUGGGUUUAAAGGGUGCGCAGGCGGGCCAUUAAGCCGUCGGUGAAAUCGCGUGGCUCAACCCCGCCGAGGCGUCGGAACUGGGGGCCUUGAGUGCGGCGGAGGCAUGCGGAAUGCGCGGUGUAGCGGUGAGAGGCAUAGAUAUCGCGCAGAACCCCGAUUGCGAAGGCAGCGUGCCGUGCCGCCACUGACGCUGAGGCACGAAAGCGCGGGGAUCGAACAGGAUUAGAUACCCUUGUAGUC
rnacentral:rRNA from 1 species